AGAGUUUGAUUCUGGCUCAGGAUGAACGCUAGCUACAGGCUUAACACAUGCAAGUCGAGGGGCAGCAUGGCGGUGGCUUGCCACCGCCGAUGGCGACCGGCGCACGGGUGAGUAACGCGUAUCCAACCUGCCCGCAACCGCGGAAUAGCCCGCCGAAAGGCGGAUUAAUGCCGCAUGAGCUCGCGUGGGGGCAUCUGCCCGCGAGCAAAGGUUUUUUCCGGUUGCGGAUGGGGAUGCGUCCGAUUAGGCAGCAGGCGGGGUGACGGCCCACCUGGCCACCGAUCGGUAGGGGUUCUGAGAGGAAGGUCCCCCACAUUGGAACUGAGACACGGUCCAAACUCCUACGGGAGGCAGCAGUGAGGAAUAUUGGUCAAUGGGCGGAAGCCUGAACCAGCCAAAGUAGCGUGUGGGAUGACGGCCCUACGGGUUGUAAACCACUUUUGCGCGGGGAUAACCGCCGGCACGCGUGCCGGCCUGCAGGUACCGCGCGAAUAAGGACCGGCUAAUUCCGUGCCAGCCGCGGC
rnacentral:rRNA from 1 species